AGCAUAUCAAUAAGCGGAGGAAAAGAAACUAACAAGGAUUCCCCUAGUAACUGCGAGUGAAGCGGGAAAAGCUCAAAUUUAAAAUCUGGCUGCCUCCGGUGGUCCGAGUUGUAAUCUGGAGAAGCGUUUUCCGCGUCGGACCGUGUACAAGUCUUCUGGAACGGAGCGUCAUAGAGGGUGAGAAUCCCGUCUCUGACACGGACUACCGAUGCUUUUGUGAUGCGCUCUCGAAGAGUCGAGUUGUUUGGGAAUGCAGCUCAAAAUGGGAGGUAAAUUCCUUCUAAAGCUAAAUAUUGGCUAGAGACCGAUAGCGAACAAGUACCGUGAGGGAAAGAUGAAAAGCACUUUGGAAAGAGAGUUAAACAGUACGUGAAAUUGUUGAAAGGGAAACGCUUGAAGUCAGUCGCGUUGGUCGAGACUCAGCCUGGCUUGCCAGGUGUACUUCUCGGUUGACGGGUCAGCAUCAGUUUUGACCGCCGGAUAAAGGUUGGAGGAAUGUGGCAUCCUUCGGGAUGUGUUAUAGCCUCUGAUUCGCAUACGGCGAUUGGGGCUGAGGAACUCAGCACGCCUUUAUGGUCGGGGUUCGCCCACGUAACGUGCUUAGGAUGCNGGCAUAAUGGCUUUAAGCGACCCGUCUNGAAACACGGACCAAGGGCGA
rnacentral:rRNA from 1 species